AUUUGUUUAACUAAUUGUUUUGUGUGCAGAAUUAGAAUUUGGCUUGACCAAGGAGUAGCAAGUUGUGAUUGUUGAAUCAAUGUUCAUCUGUAGCAGUUAAACUGGAUGAACACCAUCUUUGAUUAUCAGAACUGUCAUAGAAUUAGCAAUCGUUUGACAGUGUGGUUUAAACCACAAGCUGCAUUACAUUCGGCUUUGCAGAGAUUUUAAUGCCCUGAGUUCUAUUCCUAUUUUGCUGAUUUAGUGAUAAUCUGCAAUUUUUGUUGAAUUGUGGUGAUAUCCUAUUGUGCAGAUUGUUCUGGGAAAAAUUGAAAGUUAUGCAGAUUUCACUUAGAAAGCAGUGUACACCAGAUUUGUGACCAACUGCAGCAGUGGUAAAAUUGGAUCCAUUCUUCCACAUCAGUUGCAUUGAAGCCGAGAGAGUAAUUGUGCAGUUUUGAAAAGCAACAUACUCUUAGGAUCAUAAUGAAAAAGAUUGGGAAUUUGGAAGAAAGCUUGAAUCAAGAUAAGUUUAAUANGAAGGUGAAAACCUCAAUUAUCCAAAAUGAACUUAGAAUCAUAAAAGUGGAACAAAAGAAUCAGAGAAAUCAAGAGCUUUUAAGAGAACUCAUUCAANAGGGUAGAUCAUUCAUUAAUAGCUUAAGUGGAUUUUAUUGUCAGGAGAGAGAAUAUAGAGAUAAACUCAUAAAGUUCUUGAAUGAGGGAAGUAAAAGAGACAAGGAGAGAGAACGAAGAGAAUUACAAGAAAGACAAGAGAGAAGAAAGAGAGAAGAAGAGAAAAGGAGAGAAGGAUAGAGCAAGUAAGGAUAGAAGAGGAAGAAAGAAGAGAACAACAUAGGAUAGAAGAGGAAGAAAGAAGAGAGCAACAUAGAAGAGAAGAAGAAAAAGAGAGAAUAAGAAGAGAGAAAGAUAGAAAGGAAGAGGAAGAAAAGAGAGAGGAGGAAGAGCGACUACAAAAGAAAGAGAAUGAAGAAAUUGAAAGGAAGAAAAUGGAAGAAAAGAAAUUGAUGACAACAUAUUCUAUUCUAGAACCCAAAAGGGGAGGUUUUCUAUCCUUUCACUUUUCUUCAAUUGAUAUUAAAUGUUCCAAAUUCAUCUUUUCUUUCCAAAACUUUGCCAUCACAUCUUUUCAAAAGUUACAAUUUCCAAAACUUGAGUUAGAGUUACUUUUCAAGUUAUCACUAACUCAAGACAAAAAUAAAUUUUCAAAUGAAGAAAGGUUUCUUUGUAAUCAUAAAGUUGAAAAUUUUAAAAUUAAGAAAUAUUUUUCUAAACAUAUUCUUUUAUAUACCUUGUUGGGUCAUAGAAAACUAAUUAGAGAUAUGUUUGAUGUUUAUUGCAGAUUAAUCUUUGACCCAGGAGGAACUAGUAUGGAGUCUACAAUAAUAAGUUCUCAGGCGAACCAUCAGAUUUGAGGACAAAUCCUUUCCAAGGGGGAGGGGAUGAUGACUUGGGCCCAAGCCCAAUAAAUAAAGUCCACUAAACCAAGCUCAUCAUUUAGACAAGGAAUCAUUUACUUGAAGAAUAAGGUUGCUGAGUGCACUCCCCAUGGUGAUAAAUCAACCUUGUGGCAGCAAAGCCCAAGAAAUAGAAGACUAAGGGUGCUUAGCGCACCCCUCCUUUAUGCUAAAUACACCGUGGUAGCUUUUCUUCAUUGUUAGCUUGCAUUUCCGUUUAGCUUCUAGAUUCAACAACUUCCAGCACGUGUAUGAUAAGUUGUGCAUGAUGGUAGCAAUAGGCAUCGUUUAGAUUCAUCUACCACGAGGGAGAUAACACUAUAAAUUUCCCUCCUUACUCUUUGUAG
rnacentral:lncRNA from 1 species